CCUACGGGCGGCAGCAGUGAGGAAUAUUGGUCAAUGGACGCAAGUCUGAACCAGCCAUGCCGCGUGCAGGAAGACGGCCCUAUGAGUUGUAAACUGCUUUUGUAAGAGGGUAAACGCAGAUACGCGUAUCCUUCUGAAAGUAUCGUACGAAUAAGGAUCGGCCAACUCCGUGCCAGCAGCCGCGGUAAUACGGAGGAUUCAAGCGUUAUCCGGAUUUAUUGGGUUUAAAGGGGGCGUAGGCGGUCGGCUAAGUUAGAGGUGAAAUCCCGGGGCUCAACUUCGGAAUUGCCUCUGAUACUGGUAGGCUAGAGAGUAGUUGAGGUAGGCAGAAUGUAUGGUGUAGCGGUGAAAUGCGUAGAGAUC
rnacentral:rRNA from 1 species